rnacentral:rRNA from 1 species
ACGUAGGGUGCGAGCGUUAAUCGGAAUUACUGGGCGUAAAGCGUGCGCAGGCGGUUUGCUAAGACAGGUGUGAAAUCCCCGGGCUUAACCUGGGAAUGGCGCUUGUGACUGGCAGGCUUGAGUACGGCAGAGGGGGGUGGAAUUCCACGUGUAGCAGUGAAAUGCGUAGAGAUGUGGAGGAACACCGAUGGCGAAGGCAGCCCCCUGGGUCGAUACUGACGCUCAUGCACGAAAGCGUGGGGAGCAAACAGG